UACGAAGGUGCAAGCGUUACUCGGAAUUACUGGCGUAAAGCGUGCGUAGGUGGUUGUUAAGUCCGUUGUGAAGCCUGCUCAACCUGAAUUGCAUUGAUACUGCAGGCUAGAGUGCGGUAGAGAUGCGAUCGUGUAGCAGUGAUGCGUAGAGAUCGAGAACAUCUGUGCGAAGCGCAUCUGACAGCACUGACACUGAGCACGAAGCGUAGCA
rnacentral:rRNA from 1 species